UACGAGAGGGCCGCUACCACGCGNGUGGAUGCCAAUCCCCAAAACCUCUCUCAGUUCGGACUGGAGUCUGCAACCCGACUCCACGAAGCUGGAUUCGCUAGUAAUCGCGCAUCAGCCACGGCGCGGUGAAUACGUUCCCGGGCCUUGUACACACCGCCCGUCAAGCCAUGGGAGCCGGGGGUACCUGAAGUGCGUAACCGCGAGGAGCGCCCUAGGGUAAAACUGGUGACUGGGGCUAAGUCGUAACAAGGUAAC
rnacentral:rRNA from 1 species